rnacentral:misc_RNA from 1 species
GAUGAAGAACGCAGCGAAAUGCGAUAAGUAAUGUGAAUUGCAGAAUUCAGUGAAUCAUCGAAUCUUUGAACGCACAUUGCGCCCGCCAGUAUUCUGGCGGGCAUGCCUGUUCGAGCGUCAUUUCAACCAUCAAGCCCCCGGCUUGUGUUGGGGACCUGCGGCUGCCGCGGGCCCUGAAAAGCAGUGGCGGGCUCGCUGUCACACCGAGCGUAGUAGAUUUCAUCUCGCUCAGGGCGUGCUGCGGGUUCCGGCCGUUAAACCACCUUCAUAACCCAAGGUUGACCUCGGAUCAGGUAGGAAGACCCGCUGAACUUAAGCAUAUCAAUAAGCGGAGGA